rnacentral:rRNA from 1 species
CACGUAGGGUGCGAGCGUUGUUCGGAAUUAUUGGGCGUAAAGAGCUCGUAGGCGGUGUGUCGCGUCGGCCGUGAAAACCUGCAGCUUAACUGUGGGCUUGCGGUCGAUACGGGCAUCACUGGAGUUCGGCAGGGGAGACUGGAAUUCCUGGUGUAGCGGUGAAAUGCGCAGAUAUCAGGAGGAACACCGGUGGCGAAGGCGGGUCUCUGGGCCGAUACUGACGCUGAGGAGCGAAAGCGUGGGGAGCGAACAGG